rnacentral:rRNA from 1 species
UACGGAGGGUGCGAGCGUUGCUCGGAAUUAUUGGGCGUAAAGCGUACGCAGGCGGCUCGGCAAGUCGAGUGUGAAAUCCCGGGGCUCAACUCCGGAACUGCAUUCGAUACUGCCGGGCUUGAGUGCGGGAGAGGGAAGCGGAAUUCCUGGUGUAGAGGUGAAAUUCGUAGAUAUUAGGAAGAACACCAGUGGCGAAGGCGGCUCACUGGUCCGGUACUGACGCUGAGGUGCGAAAGCGUGGGGAGCAAACAGG